CAGUUGUUGCUGCAUUUGAAAAUAUUGUUGACAUGAAGGUUCGUUGUUCCAAUAGCAUCGGCUAUCCCUCAGGAUCUGCAAAAAUCUCUGCUGGAUGGGAACGUCAAGGGCCUUGACUGAGCAACACAAGCUAAAGCCAGCUGAUUCUCCCCGAUGGCCACUGAGUAAAGCCAUGACAGAGCCACUAAAGCGUUUUGGCUCACGUCUUCAUGCGUGGGGCCUUCCACUGCUGAGUGACCUGGUAGGCGUGGAUGAACACCACCAUGACCGCAACCAGACAGAUGAGAGGCACCAGCACCGCUGUGCACAGAGCUGCAUAGAUGUUUGGGAUGAAGCACCUAAAGGGAGAACCAACAACAUUGAAAGUGAUUCCCUGUUUUUCUUCUUCAGUUUAUGUAGAUAGAAAUAUGCAGAAUGUAUGUGGAAAAAAGAGGGGAUUAAAAGAGAGGAAGUUUGCAUCCAUAAAAAGGUAAAGCUCUAAAAUAUGGGAAACGGGUUAAGACUGCAUUUCUUCAACUUUCACAAAUACGUUUUAUCUGGUAAA
ensembl:lncRNA